AGACCCGAAACCCGGUGAUCUAGCCAUGGGCAGGUUGAAGGUUGGGUAACACUAACUGGAGGACCGAACCGACUAAUGUUGAAAAAUUAGCGGAUGACCUGUGGCUGGGGGUGAAAGGCCAAUCAAACCGGGAGAUAGCUGGUUCUCCCCGAAAGCUAUUUAGGUAGCGCCUCGUGAAUUCAUCUCCGGGGGUAGAGCACUGUUUCGGCUAGGGGGCCAUCCCGGCUUACCAACCCGAUGCAAACUGCGAAUACCGGAGAAUGUUAUCACGGGAGACACACGGCGGGUGCUAACGUCCGUCGUGAAGAGGGAAACAACCCAGACCGCCAGCUAAGGUCCCAAAGUCAUGGUUAAGUGGGAAACGAUGUGGGAAGGCCCAGACAGCCAGGAUGUUGGCUUAGAAGCAGCCAUCAUUUAAAGAAAGCGUAAUAGCUCACUGGUCGAGUCGGCCUGCGCGGAAGAUGUAACGGGGCUAAACCAUGCACCGAAGCUGCGGCAGCGAACGUAUCACUUAAAGCGAUUCAGCGGGUUACGAUUGACGGAGCGAAGCGACGUCAAAGCGUAUACAAAGUCGAGUCGGUUUAAGGAUACGUUCGUUGGGUAGGGGAGCGUUCUGUAAGCCUGUGAAGGUGUGUCGUGAGGCAUG
rnacentral:rRNA from 1 species